rnacentral:rRNA from 1 species
AGUGAACGCUGGCGGUAGGCCUAACACAUGCAAGUCGAACGGCAGCACAGUAAGAGCUUGCUCUUACGGGUGGCGAGUGGCGGACGGGUGAGGAAUACAUCGGAAUCUACUUUUUCGUGGGGGAUAACGUAGGGAAACUUACGCUAAUACCGCAUACUACCUACGGGUGAAAGCAGGGGAUCUUCGGACCUUUCGCUAUUGAAUGAGCCGAUGUCGGAUUAGCUAGUUGGCGGGGUAAAGGCCCACCAAGGCGACGAUCCGUAGCUGGUCUGAGAGGAUGAUCAGCCACACUGGAACUGAGACACGGUCCAGACUCCUACGGGAGGCAGCAGUGGGGAAUAUUGGACAAUGGGCGCAAGCCUGAUCCAGCCAUACCGCGUGGGUGAAGAAGGCCUUCGGGUUGUAAAGCCCUUUUGUUGGGAAAGAAAAGCAGCAGGUUAAUACCCCGCUGUUCUGACGGUACCCAAAGAAUAAGCACCGGCUAACUUCGUG